AUCGAACGCUGGCGGCAGGCUUAACACAUGCAAGUCGAGCGAGCGGCGGACGGGUGAGUAAUGUUUGGGAAAUUGCCUGACGGAGGGGGAUAACUACUGGAAACGGUAGCUAAUACCGCAUACCAUCAGAUGUGCCCAGACGGGAUUAGCUACGAGGUGGGGUGAUGGCUCUCCUAGGCGACGCUCCUUAGCUGGUCUGAGAGGAUGACCGGCCACACUGGAACUGAGACACGGUCCCGACGCCUACGGGAGGCAGCAGUGGGGAAUAUUGCGCAAUGGGCGAAAGCCUGAUGCAGCCAUGCCGCGUGUGUGAAGAAGGCCUUCGGGUUGUAAAGCACUUUCAUCGAGGAGGCGUUACUCGCAGAAGAAGCACCGGCUAACUCCGUGCCAGCAGCCGCGGUAAUUC
rnacentral:rRNA from 1 species